GGGCUCUUGGCGCAGCUGGUAGCGCGUUCGCUUCGCACUUUACGUCCAUGCGAAAGGUCGUUGGUUCGACUCCUACAGUGUCCA